CUAAGGCGAGGCCGAAAGGCGUAGUCGAUGGGAAACAGGUUAAUAUUCCUGUACUUGGUGUUACUGCGAAGGGGGGACGGAGAAGGCUAUGUUAGCCGGGCGACGGUUGUCCCGGUUUAAGCAUGUAGGCUGGUUAUCCAGGCAAAUCCGGAUAAUCAAGGCUGAGGUGUGAUGACGAGGCACUACGGUGCUGAAGUAACAAAUGCCCUGCUUCCAGGAAAAGCCUCUAAGCAUCAG
rnacentral:rRNA from 1 species